UACAGAGGUCUCAAGCGUUGUUCGGAUUCAUUGGGCGUAAAGCGCGUGUAGGCGGUCCGGUAAGUCGGCUGUGAAAGUCCAGGGCUCAACCCUGGAAGGCCGGUGGAAACUGUCGGGCUAGAGUCCGGAAGAGGAGAAUGGAAUUCCUGGUGUAGCGGUGAAAUGCGCAGAUAUCAGGAAGAACACCCGUGGCGAAGGCGGUUCUCUGGGACGGUACUGACGCUGAGACGCGAAAGCGUGGGGAGCGAACAGG
rnacentral:rRNA from 1 species